rnacentral:SRP_RNA from 1 species
GCCGGGUGCAGUGGCGCGCGCCUGUAAUCCAAGCUGCUGGGAGGCUGAGGCUGGCGGAUCGCUUGAGUUCAGGGGUUCUGGGCUGCAGUGGACUAUGUCGAUCGGGUGUCCGUGCUAAGUUCGGUAUCGAUAUGGUGCUCCUGGGGGAGCUCGGGACCACCAGGUCGUCUAAGGAGGGGUGAACCGGCCCAGGUCGGAGACGGAGCAGGUCAAAGCCCCCGUGCCGAUCAGUAGUGGGGUCGCACCUGUGAAUAGACACUGCAGUGCAGCCUGAGCGAGACUCAGACUUUU